AAUACCAAUCUUAUUUAUUUUAGAUCAUUUAUUUUAGUUGUUUAAGAGUUUAGUAACUUGCUAACUUGAUUAUCUAGUUUUAUUUGAAAUUUCGUGUAAGGGUUGUAAUCCACUAGGCACCGAGGUGUAUGAGUUGUUUAGUUAUUUCUUUUAAUAGGUGUAUGUUGCUAGCUUACCUGAAUGCAGGUUAGUGACCUGCCGCAGGGUAUAUAUUUACAACAGAUAUCUAUGUUUCUACCUUACCGCGGUGCGUUGUUGGUGUUGCCUGUACACCAAUAUGGGUAGAGUUUGGAGCUAAGUUUUGGAAACCGUUUAGCUGCAUAAUCAUGUUAUUCUCUGAUGGAUUGGUUUUUCUGCUAUUGUACGUUGCUGCCUUCCUGUGGUGUUUUGUUUGAAGUUCUGGAGGUGUCUUGGUUCGUGUGGUUUUUCAGGGACUUGAAAACAUGAGAGGUAUUGCUGACUUGGUUUGAAAAAUGGCAGAGGAGUGCUUAAGUUAGUUUGAUUGCUUUGGUGUUCUGAACUCACCUGGUUGCAGGAAAAGGUAUGCUGGGAGCUUAUUGUGCAAUGUGUAGGUUGUUAUUAUUUGAUUAAGGUUGAGGCUCAUAGGACCUUUGUAUUAGUAUAUCUUAGCAUAAGUUAAUUUGUUUUGGUGGUGAGAGUUAUGUACCCAGUUAGCUUCUUGAUAGGACCUUUGUAUUAACAUAAGUUUGUUUUGUUGGUUAGAGAUGUACUCAAAUAUUGUUUCAGACCAAAUCUAGUAUAUUUUUCAUGUUAUAUUGAAAAAGUACUUUUUAUUCUC